CCGAAUCAACAGUGCUGGUCACCGAUCUCCAUUCGAAGAAGCGCCUCUCUACUAAUACUCUUGAUUUUUAUGACCCAGACGAUUUGUUUGACCUAUGCCUGAAUUUAUACUGACCCUGCAUUGAUUUUAACAUUUCAAGACUUUAGGCUCUAACGCUGAUGCCAGCCUGCCGCGGAACAGUACAUUUCAAGACAACAGAGCAGGGCUGCAUGAUCCAAGGCUUGGUCAGUCACCAGCGGUCAACGUCAGUAUAUGCUAAAUUCUUGAUAUUACUCUCACUUCUUAAAGUGGAUCACCAGGUGAAGAAGGCUGUGAUUGACUGCCAGAAGGUACAGAAGGAAUAUUAAGACCAACAGCAGCAGAUCAAAUAGGUGCAUGUCUCCCACUCUGCACUGUUUUUAAUGCUUUUAAUUGAUGACUAAACUUCUAAUCUGUAGCUUGUUUAAAGUUUAAUGACUGAACGUUGUCCAAACUUCAUUUCUGACAACUUAUGUCUGGGAAAACUCAGGGUGUAACCCCAGGAAACAUAUUUGUCUGGCCAUAACUACAGAGCUCCACAAAUAAGAGACAACAUGGAGCAAGAAAAACAUGUCUUUUUUUGUAAACACGAGGAAUUCUGCAGAUGCUGUACCUCUUCCUAGAGAUGCUGCCUGGCCUGCUGCGUACACCAGCAACUUUGAUGUGUGUUGCAUGUCUUUUUUUGUCUUAUUUUACAAGUUGAUGACCAUCAGGUCAAUUAAUGCAAUAUAUAUGCAGCCAAUGUUAAAAUGCUUGGCAAAUUCUUUUGAAAG